rnacentral:lncRNA from 1 species
GGUCUCGUAUCCCGAGAUCUAUGUGAAGAGAAUAAUCUUCGGUGAGUGAAGAUUACACCCAUCCCCGUCUCCUCUUUCCUUCCGAUGAAGGGAUUGACCAUGAGCUUACAGUGCCUUGUAGAAAGCAUAGCCUCAUUGUUCACUCACUGAUCUACGACUGAUAUAGGGCCUACCUGGCUCAUAGAGACUCCGCCUAAUAAGGAAGAGCUA